AUUGAACGCUGGCGGCAUGCUUUACACAUGCAAGUCGAACGGCAGCGGGGUAGUGCUUGCACUACUGUCCGGCGAGUGGCGAACGGGUGAGUAAUAUAUCGGAACGUACCGAGUAAUGGGGGAUAACCAAUCGAAAGAUUGGCUAAUACCGCAUACGUCCUAAGGGAGAAAGCGGGGGAUCGCAAGACCUCGCGUUAUUCGAGCGGCCGAUAACUGAUUAGCUAGUUGGUGGGGUAAAGGCCUACCAAGGCGACGAUCAGUAGCGGGUCUGAGAGGACGAUCCGCCACACUGGGACUGAGACACGGCCCAGACUCCUACGGGAGGCAGCAGUGGGGAAUUUUGGACAAUGGGGGCAACCCUGAUCCAGCCAUGCCGCGUGUAUGAAGAAGGCCUUCGGGUUGUAAAGUACUUUUGUUAGGGAAGAAAAGGGAAGUGCUAAUACCACUUUUUGCUGACGGUACCUAAAGAAUAAGCACCGGCUAACUACGUGCCAGCAGCCGCGGUAAUACGUAGGGUGCGAGCGUUAAUCGGAAUUACUGGGCGUAAAGCGAGCGCAGACGGUUAUUUAAGCAGGAUGUGAAAUCCCCGGGCUCAACCUGGGAACUGCGUUCUGAACUGGAUAGCUAGAGUGUGUCAGAGGGGGGUAGAAUUCCACGUGUAGCAGUGAAAUGCAUAGAGAUGUGGAGGAAUACCGAUGGCGAAGGCAGCCCCCUGGGAUAACACUGACGUUCAUGCUCGAAAGCGUGGGUAGCAAACAGG
rnacentral:rRNA from 1 species